GCAAGUCGAGCGGACUUGAUGAGGAGCUUGCUUCUCUGAGAGUUAGCGGCGGACGGGUGAGUAACACGUAGGCAACCUGCCCUCAAGACUGGGAUAACUACCGGAAACGGUAGCUAAUACCGGAUAAUUAAAUUCGCUGCAUGGCGGAGUUAUGAAAGGCGGAGCAAUCUGUCACUUGAGGAUGGGCCUGCGGCGCAUUAGCUAGUUGGUGAGGUAACGGCUCACCAAGGCGACGAUGCGUAGCCGACCUGAGAGGGUGAACGGCCACACUGGGACUGAGACACGGCCCAGACUCCUACGGGAGGCAGCAGUAGGGAAUCUUCCGCAAUGGGCGAAAGCCUGACGGAGCAACGCCGCGUGAGUGAUGAAGGUUUUCGGAUCGUAAAGCUCUGUUGCCAGGGAAGAACGUCUCAUAGAGUAACUGCUAUGAGAGUGACGGUACCUGAGAAGAAAGCCCCGGCUAACUACGUGCCAGCAGCCGCGGUAAUACGUAGGGGGCAAGCGUUGUCCGGAAUUAUUGGGCGUAAAGCGCGCGCAGGCGGUUCUUUAAGUCUGGUGUUUAAACCCGAGGCUCAACUUCGGGACGCACUGGAAACUGGGGGACUUGAGUGCAGAAGAGGAGAGUGGAAUUCCACGUGUAGCGGUGAAAUGCGUAGAUAUGUGGAGGAACACCAGUGGCGAAG
rnacentral:rRNA from 1 species